UACGUAGGGUCCGAGCGUUGUCCGGAAUUACUGGGCGUAAAGAGCUCGUAGGUGGUUUGUCGCGUUGUUCGUGAAAACUCACAGCUUAACUGUGGGCGUGCGGGCGAUACGGGCAGACUGGAGUACUGCAGGGGAGACUGGAAUUCCUGGUGUAGCGGUGGAAUGCGCAGAUAUCAGGAGGAACACCGGUGGCGAAGGCGGAUCUCUGGGCCAAUUACUGACGCUGAGGAGCGAAAGCGUGGGGAGCGAACAGG
rnacentral:rRNA from 1 species